GUGUUUCCCAGGGAACAGCAGCCUCUGCACUCUAAGGCUCUGUCCAGAGCCCACUCCCCUAGCUGCAAGAAUGAUGAUUAAAUUACAAAGUUUGUAUUUUCUUGUUUAGGCAGAAAGUGUUUCUGGAAGGAUUUCUGAGAAGUGAUAAUCCUUUGGCCUCCUUUGGAGGGGAGAGCUGGUUGUCUGGGAAUCAGGUUUCAGGAGAUGGCCUGGGAACUUCUUCGUAUCACUUGGAUUUCAGCCAUGGAACUGUUAUUUAUGGGUCUUCAGAGGAUGCAGUGUUGGUGGUCUGUUCUGUGCUGUAGCAGAAUUCCUCAGGCUGGCGACUGUGACUUGAAGGACAGCCAGGUCUCCUUCUGCAGCCGGGUACUCUAGGACAUUUCCCAGUACGACUUAAAUCGUUUACCUCACCUGUCCAACG